GAUGAACGCUAGCUACAGGCUUAACACAUGCAAGUCGAGGGGAAACGACAGUAAAGCUUGCUUUAUUGGGCGUCGACCGGCGCACGGGUGCGUAACGCGUAUCCAACCUGCCCCCAACUCCGGAAUAGUCCCCCGAAAGGGGGGUUAACGCCGGAUGCUGCAAUUUUUCCGCAUGGUGGAAUUGCGAAAUGAAAAAGGUUGGGGCUGGGGAUGCGUCCCAUUAGGUAGUAGGCGGGGUAACGGCCCACCUAGCCGACGAUGGGUAGGGGUUCUGAGAGGAAGGUCCCCCCACAUUGGAACUGAGACACGGUCCAAACUCCUACGGGAGGCAGCAGUGAGGAAUAUUGGUCAAUGGGCGAGAGCCUGAACCAGCCAAGUAGCGUGUGGGACGAAUGCCCUAUGGGUUGUAAACCACUUUUGCAGGAGGGUAAAAUGCUUCACGUGUGGAGUAUUGCAAGUAUCCUGCGAAUAAGGACCGGCUAAUUCCGUG
rnacentral:rRNA from 1 species